GUCGACGGAACGAUACUAGCUUGCUAGUAGGCGUCGAGUGGCGGACGGGUGAGUAACGCGUAGGAAUCUGCCUGAUAGUGGGGGGUAGCCCGGAGAAAUUCGGAUUAAUACCGCAUAAUCUAUUCGUAGUAAAGUGGGGGACUUUCGAGCCUCACGCUAUCAGAUGAGCCUGCGUAAGAUUAGCUUGUUGGUAGGGUAAAAGCCUACCAAGGCGACGAUCUUUAGCUGGUCUGAGAGGAUGAUCAGCCACAUCGGGGCUGAGACACGGCCCGAACUCCUACGGGAGGCAGCAGUGGGGAAUAUUGGACAAUGGGGGCAACCCUGAUCCAGCAAUACCGCGUGUGUGAAGAAGGCCUGAGGGUUGUAAAGCACUUUCAAUUGUGAAGAAAAGUUAACGGUUAAUAACCGUUAGCCUUGACGUUAACUUUAGAAGAAGCACCGGCUAACUCCGUGCCAGCAGCCGCGGUAAUACGGAGGGUGCAAGCGUUAAUCGGAAUUACUGGGCGUAAAGCGUGCGUAGGCGGUUUAUUAAGUCAGAUGUGAAAGCCCCGGGCUUAACCUGGGAACUGCAUUUGAAACUGGUAAACUAGAGUAUGGUAGAGGAAAGUGGAAUUUCUGGUGUAGCGGUGAAAUGCGUAGAUAUCAGAAGGAACAUCAAUGGCGAAGGCAGCUUUCUGGACCAAUACUGACGCUGAGGUACGAAAGCGUGGGUAGCAAACAGGAUUAGAUACCCUGGUAGUCCACGCCGUAAACGAUGAUAACUAGCCGUUGGGGGGGAUUUACCCUUUAGUGGCGAAGCUAACGCGUUAAGUUAUCCGCCUGGGGAGUACGGCCGCAAGGUUAAAACUCAAAGGAAUUGACGGGGACCCGCACAAGCGGUGGAGCAUGUGGGUUUAAUUCGAUGCAACGCGAAGAACCUUACCUGGUCUUGACAUCCUGCGAACUUUCUAGAAAAUAGAUUGGUGCCUUCGGGAACGCAGUGACAGGUGCUGCAUGGCUGUCGUCAGCUCGUGUCCUGGAAAUGUUGGGGUUAAGUCCCCGUAA
rnacentral:rRNA from 1 species